UCCGAGUUGUCCCCGACAGUCCUCUUAGAGUCCCCGGCAUUACCCGCUGGCAACUAAGAGCAGGGGUUGCGCUCGUUGCGGCACUUAAGCCAACACCUCACGGCACGAGCUGACGACAGCCAUGCAGCACCUGUGCUGGCCCCUUACGGACACGGGCUUUCACCCGCUUUACCCUGCAUGUCAAGCCCAGGUAAGGUGGGGAUGACGUUGGAGGAAUUCCA
rnacentral:misc_RNA from 1 species